rnacentral:lncRNA from 1 species
GGUGUUGUUGAAAAGGCACGUAAGACGUUAGAGAGAGUGACACGUAGGAGGAGAUAGAGAGAGUGUGGGUCCCAUAGGAAAGGCUUUCUCUUUCUAAGAAAUUGCCACGUCACUUAUCCAACCACCGUCUGCCGUCCCCUCCAACCCCAACCUUAGCUGUUCUUCACUCUCAUUCCCUUUCCUUUUCUUUUUUUUCUUUUUUAUUUUAUCCUCUUUCGUCGUAUCUUC